rnacentral:rRNA from 1 species
UACGAAGGGGGCUAGCGUUGCUCGGAAUGAUUGGGCGUAAAGGGCGCGUAGGCGGAUGGCACAGUCAGAUGUGAAAUUCCUGGGCUUAACCUGGGGGCUGCAUUUGAUACGUGUUGUCUUGAGUGAGGAAGAGGGUCGUGGAAUUCCCAGUGUAGAGGUGAAAUUCGUAGAUAUUGGGAAGAACACCGGUGGCGAAGGCGGCGAGCUGGUCCAUUACUGACGCUGAGGCGCGACAGCGUGGGGAGCAAACAGG